rnacentral:rRNA from 1 species
GGCUCAGAUUGAACGCUGGCGGCAUGCCUUACACAUGCAAGUCGAACGCGAAAGUAGGGGCAACCCUGCGAGUAGAGUGGCGAACGGGUGAGUAAUGCAUCGGAACAUUUCCUGUAGUGGGGGAUAACCUCGAGAAAUCGAGGCUAAUACCGCGUACGUCCUACGGGCGAAAGCGGGGGAUCGCAAGACCUCGCGCUAUAGGAGUGGCCGAUGCCGGAUUAGCUAGUUGGCGGGGUAACAGCCCACCAAGGCGACGAUCCGUAGCUGGUCUGAGAGGAUGAUCAGCCACACUGGGACUGAGACACGGCCCAGACUCCUACGGGAGGCAGCAGUGGGGAAUUUUGGACAAUGGGCGCAAGCCUGAUCCAGCCAUGCCGCGUGAGUGAAGAAGGCCUUCGGGUUGUAAAGCUCUUUCGGCCGGGACGAAAUCGCACCUGACAAUACCGGGUGUGGAUGACGGUACCGGAAGAAGAAGGACCGGCUAACUACGUGCCAGCAGCCGCGGUAAUACGUAGGGUCCGAGCGUUAAUCGGAAUUACUGGGCGUAAAGCGUGCGCAGGCGGUUUUGUAAGCCAGAUGUGAAAUCCCCGGGCUUAACCUGGGAACUGCAUUUGGGACUGCAAGGCUGGAGUACGGCAGAGGGAGGUGGAAUUCCAGGUGUAGCAGUGAAAUGCGUAGAUAUCUGGAGGAACACCGAUGGCGAAGGCAGCCUCCUGGGCUAGUACUGACGCUCAUGCACGAAAGCGUGGGGAGCAAACAGGAUUAGAUACCCUGGUAGUCCACGCCCUAAACGAUGACAACUAGUUGUUGGGGAUUUAACAUCCUUAGUAACGCAGCUAACGCGUGAAGUUGUCCGCCUGGGGAGUACGGGUCGCAGAUAAAACU